rnacentral:rRNA from 1 species
GACGAACGCUGGCGGCGUGCUUAACACAUGCAAGUCGAACGAAGAGCGAUGGAAGCUUGCUUCUAUCACUCUUAGUGGCGAACGGGUGAGUAACGCGUAAUCAACCUGCCCUUCAGAGGGGGACAACAGUUGGAAACGACUGCUAAUACCGCAUACGAUCUAACCUCGGCAUCGAGGAAAGAUGAAAGGUGGCCUCUAUGUAUAAGCUAUCACUGAAGGAGGGGAUUGCGUCUGAUUAGCUAGUUGGAGGGGUAACGGCCCACCAAGGCGAUGAUCAGUAGCCGGUCGGAGAGGAUGAACGGCCACAUUGGGACGGAGACACGGCCCAGACUCCUACGGGAGGCAGCAGUGGGGAAUCUUCCGCAAGGGACGAAAGUCUGACGGAGCAACGCCGCGUGAGGGAUGACGGCCGUCGGGUUGGAAAGCUCUGUUAAUCGGGACGAAAGGCCUUCUUGCGAAUAGUGAGAAGGAUUGACGGUACCGGAAUAGAAAGCCACGGCUAACUACGUG